rnacentral:rRNA from 1 species
AGUGAACGCGGGCGGCGUGCUUAACACAUGCAAGUCGAACGAGAACGGAUUAUAGCUUGCUAUAAUUGUCAGCUAAGUGGCGCACGGGUGAGUAAUGUAUAGGUAAUAUGCCUCUUACUAAGGGAUAACAAAUGGAAACGUUUGCUAAUACCUUAUACUCCUUGUUAACUUAAGUUAAUAAGGGAAAGAUUUAUUGGUAAGAGAUUAGCCUGUAUUGUAUCAGUUAGUUGGUGGGGUAAUGGCUUACCAAGACUAUGACACAUAACUGGUUUGAGAGGAUGAUCAGUCACACUGGAACUGAGACACGGUCCAGACUCCUACGGGAGGCAGCAGUGGGGAAUAUUGCACAAUGGACGGAAGUCUGAUGCAGCAACGCCGCGUGGAGGAUGACACAUUUCGGUGCGUAAACUCCUUUUACAUGAGAAGAUAAUGACGGUAUUAUAUGAAUAAGCACCGGCUAACUCCGUGCCAGCAGCCGCCGUAA